GGUUAAGUGAAUAAGGGCGCACGGUGGAUGCCUUGGCACUAGGAGCCGAUGAAGGACGGGACUAACACCGAUAUGCUUUGGGGAGCUGUAAGUAAGCUAUGAUCCAGAGAUUUCCGAAUGGGGGAACCCAAUAUCUUUUAUAGGAUAUUACUUUUCAGUGAAUACAUAGCUGAUUAGAGGUAGACGCAGAGAACUGAAACAUCUUAGUACCUGCAGGAAGAGAAAGAAAAUUCGAUUCCCUGAGUAGCGGCGAGCGAAACGGGAAGAGCCCAAACCAACAAGCUUGCUUGUUGGGGUUGUAGGACUCCAAUAUGGUAGUCUGUUAGUAUAGUUGAAGGAUUUGGAAAAUUCCGCUAAAGAGGGUGAAAGCCCCGUAGACGAAAUGCUAACAACACCUAGGAGGAUCCUGAGUACGGCGGAACACGAGAAAUUCCGUCGGAAUCCGCGGGGACCAUCCCGCAAGGCUAAAUACUCCCUAGUGACCGAUAGUGAACCAGUACCGUGAGGGAAAGGUGAAAAGCACCCCGGAAGGGGAGUGAAAUAGAUCCUGAAACCGUGUGCCUACAACAAGUCAAAGCUCGUUAAUGAGUGAUGGCGUGCCUUUUGUAGAAUGAACCGGCGAGUUACGAUUGCAUGCGAGGUUAAGUCGAAGAGACGGAGCCGCAGCGAAAGCGAGUCUGAAUAGGGCGAAUGAGUAUGUAGUCGUAGACCCGAAACCAUGUGAUCUACCCAUGUCCAGGUUGAAGGUGCGGUAAAACGCACUGGAGGACCGAACCCACGUACGUUGAAAAGUGCGGGGAUGAGGUGUGGGUAGCGGAGAAAUUCCAAACGAACUUGGAGAUAGCUGGUUCUCUCCGAAAUAGCUUUAGGGCUAGCCUCGGAAUUGAGAAUGAUGGAGGUAGAGCACUGUUUGGACUAGGGGCCCAUCUCGGGUUACCGAAUUCAGAUAAACUCCGAAUGCCAUUCAUUUAUAUCCGGGAGUCAGACUGCGAGUGAUAAGAUCCGUAGUCGAAAGGGAAACAGCCCAGACCACCAGCUAAGGUCCCAAAAUAUAUGUUAAGUGGAAAAGGAUGUGGGGUUGCACAGACAACUAGGAUGUUGGCUUAGAAGCAGCCACCAUUUAAAGAGUGCGUAAUAGCUCACUAGUCGAGUGACCCUGCGCCGAAAAUGUACCGGGGCUAAACAUAUUACCGAAGCUGUGGACUACACCAUUAGGUGUAGUGGUAGGAGAGCGUUCUAAGGGCGUUGAAGGUCGAUCGUGAGGACGGCUGGAGCGCUUAGAAGUGAGAAUGCCGGUAUGAGUAGCGAAAGACAGGUGAGAAUCCUGUCCACCGUAUGACUAAGGUUUCCUGGGGAAGGCUCGUCCGCCCAGGGUUAGUCGGGACCUAAGCCGAGGCCGAUAGGCGUAGGCGAUGGACAACAGGUUGAUAUUCCUGUACCAGUUGUUUUUGUUUGAGCAAUGGAGGGACGCAGUAGGCUAAGGAAUGCAUGCGAUUGGAAGUGCAUGUCCAAGCAAUGAGUCUUGAGUAGAGUUAAAUGCUUUACUCUCUAAGGACAAGUUGUGACGGGGAGCGAAAUAAUAGUAGCGAAGUUCCUGAUGUCACACUGCCAAGAAAAGCUUCUAGUGAGAAAACAACUGCCCGUACCGUAAACCGACACAGGUAGUCGAGGAGAGUAUCCUAAGGUGAGCGAGCGAACUCUCGUUAAGGAACUCGGCAAAAUGACCCCGUAACUUCGGGAGAAGGGGUGCUGACGACCGUCAGCCGCAGUGAAUAGGCCCAAGCGACUGUUUAUCAAAAACACAGGUCUCUGCAAAAUCGUAAGAUGAAGUAUAGGGGCUGACGCCUGCCCGGUGCUGGAAGGUUAAGAGGAUGGGUUAGCUUCGGCGAAGCUCAGAAUUGAAGCCCCAGUAAACGGCGGCCGUAACUAUAACGGUCCUAAGGUAGCGAAAUUCCUUGUCGGGUAAGUUCCGACCCGCACGAAAGGCGUAACGAUUUGG
rnacentral:rRNA from 1 species